AUAUUUGUGUGUGAGGGGGGAUUCAAGUCUUGACUAAACCAGACAAAUUCACUCAGAAGCAGCAGGGGUGGGAGAAAUUCUAGAGACUGACUGAGUAUAACAAUCCCCUCUCCUUGGAAGAGUUUGAAGACUAUUAUUCUGAGCACAGCUACAUGCCUCCUGAGUUGGGAAGAUUCCUGCUCCAUGCAUGUUCCCUGUCAAGGAGAGAAAUGCCCCAUGAUUCAUGCGCCACAUUUCUGGGAAAGGGAGGAGCAGUUGGAGGUAGCUUACUGUCUUUUUCACCCCGCUUCAUUUGCUCUAUCAAGCUGCAGGUAAGCUCAGGGCUUCUGGAAACUUUGGCUGCCUGUCAAAACAAACCUGAGGCACAGAAAAACAACAGCUUUUAACACUCAGUCCAGCGCAGAUUUAGGACAAAAAAUUCCAGUGUUUGUAUGAAACCGAAAAUAAACACGAAAGCUAUUUCCCCCAUAAAACUCACUUCAGCAGCAUUGGUAUUUUUAUGUCAAAAGGCUGAAGGAGAAGCUGGUGAAAGUCUGCCACAGGGAGGGAGGGGAAGGCAAAGGCAAAGAAGGAUGCUCUGCCAGAGGUUUUGCAGUUACUUGCUGGCAGUGUUCAUGCUUAGAUAUUGGGUCCAGGUGCCUUGGGGAAGGUGGUACUCAUCACUGGCUCCUUUACCUGUCUCCUCCUUUUCUACCCCUUCUCUCCCUGUUCUCUGCAGCCCCGUUGUGCUUUGUUCCUCCUCCUGCAAUCUGUGCUUUUGCCUCUUGCCAUCUCCCCACACUGCCAUUCAUUCCUCUGUCUCCUUCCUGCCCUGCUCCUUGCAUCCCUGCUGAGUUUUCAGCAGGUGACCUUGUUCCUCCCCGCAUGGCAUCAGAGGCUGCGGUUCUCUGGUGCCGGGCUCAGCUCUUCGCUGCAGGCUCCUCCUCACCCCUGCACUGUGACAGCAAUGCUGGUGGCGUGGUCGUGUGGUGAAGCGGUGCAGGGAGACAGAAAGGCAUUUGCUGGUCUGAUUCACCGGGCUGUCACGCAAACAGCACAUGCAGCCAUGUGGGCAGACUGCUGGAGGUGAUGCAAAGAGCAGCCAAGGCUUGCUUGCGCUGGCACUACCUCUGAAAUCAGGUUUUUAUCCCUGCCCCUUCUGUGCUGCCAGAGAGGCAUGAAGAGCACGGACACAAGUGAAGUGAUCUGACUGUUCUCCGUUCUUGCUUUGGUGGCACAGAUGCUCAGGAGAGACAGGUAUGGCGAAGGCUCUGCUCAUCUCUUCUGCAUGGGGCUGGUGCCCAGUGUGGAUGAGGAACUGAGCUGGAACGCUAACGCAUCUCUCUGCAGACACACAGGCAACGGGCAAAAGGCAUGCACUGGUGUGAGAACCCUACCAAAUUCCAAAUUUCAAGGCCCUGCUCCAAAGUAUUGUGUCACAAAAAUUUUUUAACAAAGUAAUUGGACACUGUUUUAAAUGGGCAAAUUAUAUACAUCCCCUGAGCCUUGUUUUCAGAAAUGCCUAACCAUUUCUAGAUGAACUAUGUUAGAACAUAAUAACCUAUCCUGAAGCAGACCUCCAGCAUGGAAAACGUCAAUCCAAGUGUUUAAUGCUUGGUAAGUAAAAUUAUAACCAGCUGAAAAACAGAGCUAUGUAUUGGAAAGUGCCAAGCAGCCUUAAUUUACGAGUCACUUUUUGCACAGACACUUCAGUUUUCCAGAAAAGAAAGGAAAGCCCAGCUGCCAACAAGUGCAUCAGUUUGGACAGAAGGAUGGAAAACUACAUUUUUGCUUUUCAUUUAUUGUGCAUUGAUAUCUCUUUUCAGGAUGCAUACAUACAUCUGGUGUUUCUUGUCUUAAAUGGGUAGUUGUAUAAAGUCUAGCAGAGGCCCAUGUUUUUGUCCCUCUUUUAACACAGUAAAAUUGUUUACAGUAUUGUCUUAGAAAUUGCUUAGUUCAGUGACCUUUUCCAGCACUGACUAGCUGCCAAAUAAUCAGUGCUUGAAAGACUCUGAACCUGAUUCUUCUCUCCUUUACACUGUUGGUUUUUUGUUGUUUGGUUUUGUUUUUUUUUUUUUUAUCUUGUCAUCAGCUGACUUCAUUGGAGCUACUCAUUCCCUACAGGCUUGGUCUAACCAGAAGAAAUAUAUAUACAUAUAUAUGUAUUUCUGUAUAUAUACAGAAUAUGUAUACAUAUAUAGAGAGAAAUUAUAUAGAAUAGAAAUUAAAUCAUAGUAACUGGUGGGUUUCGGUUUUACUUGACAUUGUGCACACGUGCUAAGAUUGCUAGUCUCCUGAAGCGUACUUGUAAGCACCUUUUCCCUAAAGAAUACCUCUGCAGGUGUUCUUUAGAGUUUUGUGUGACUUGCUGUUAGCUGUAAAUUUUCCCAUCUGCACCAGUUAGAGAACCAGACCAAAAUCUUUGUUAUAAGAACACUAAACCUUUUCUUUUUGUAGGCAGUACAAGAUAUGAUCCUGGUUUGAGGUCUGAGAACUGGCAGCUCAGGUGAAACACAUGCUCUAAUCACUCACAGCUUAGGCUUGACACUUUAGCAUUAAGUCGAAGCAGUGUCCUUUCCUACUAUUAAGCUUAGUAACAGAUGUGAUCAGUUUUGGAAUGACUGUAGCAAAUCAUCGCAGUUUUCCACGCUCUACACCAUGUGCUGCAUGUGCUUAUAUUUGACAGGUGAGAAUGAUACCACUUUGCAUUUUUAUUUAAGGUUUUAACCCAAAGACUUCAAGGCCUUUUACAAAAAAAGCUGAGAAUGACUACACACUUUUGCAUGUGGAUGGUCAGAGACUUCAGAUGGUUCACCUGGAGUCCACACUAUAGUUCUGAGGUCUUACAGCUUGUGACUCUGAGAGUGAAUUGAUCCUGAGUAAAAAUCUUUACCCAUUGACGUUGGAUUGCUGGCCCGUGGUGGCAGGGAAAUGCUGCUUGGUGAAGGCACAUUAAGGAGGUGUAACCUGAGGUUAGUAAGGUUAUAUUAUCCCAAAUAUUAACUCAGCUGUGCCUUAUGGCAAGGCUUAGACUGGUGCUGAAUUAAAAUGACAGCAAGCAAUGAAAUGGUGUCAUUUUUCCGUCACCUUUCAGAAUGAUUCCUUUUAAGUCCUCUUAGAUAAAUAGUUUGGUAAUCUGCCAUCUUCAUUUCUUCCCUGCCUUCGCUCCUGUCUUUUGUCUCCAUCUGUUCAUCACAAGCUGGACGCUUCUCAUCGUGACAUCUUGCCAAACCACCAUCCUCUUUCUUGAAGACCUUUUGCUCGCUGGUCUUCCCACCUACUCUGACCUUCAUCAGGCUCCACCCUUCUCCAAUCCCAUCAUAUGCGUUCUUUUCUUGGCAUCGGCUGCUCUCUGCAUCCUCUUUCUACUCCACCAAAUCCAUGUUGUUUCUUACUAGAUCAAGUGGUGUUCAGAGCUCUUACUGACUCCGUUUUUUUUUCUAGGUUGCAGGUAGGAUUGGUGUGGUGCCAGAGACUUGAACAAGGGUCUUCAGCAGACAUUCCACCUCUCUGUUUUGAAACUGAUCCUGGAAGUCUUUAAGAUUAAUGUAGGAUCGUUUCCAUCACUCCCUUAACAAAUGCAGUACUUCUGACUAGCCUGCUGCCUCUAUGCUUUGACUGUAUCUGAUUACCAUCCCCAGCUUACCCUUAAUAAAAUCCCAAGCUGCCCUGGCUGCAGCUGGUGGGGUGUGAUAGAGGUGACAAAAUUAAUUUACAGGAGGAGAAGCAAGCAGUGGCAGGGACCCCUGCAUAGAGAUACCAUUAUUUUCCUCCCUCAGCCUAAGAAACAAUAGAAAAAGAGAAUGCUGCAGCUGGGCACUGGAGUAUGUAUCCGUAGAUGGUGGAUUGCCUUGCAUACUCCCUUCGAUACUUUUUUUUAUAAAGGGGCAUUUUGUGCUCCUCUGAUAUUUGAUGUGGCCAGAUCCCAGAGAGGAAUGCCAGCCACUGUCACACGUCUACUACAUCUGUUGCUUCGUUUGCAUGUCCUUGUGGGAUAAAUCCAGCCUCUCUGCAAAGCACCAGUGUUCCACACAUCAGCUCUAUUUUACAGAUUUCAGUUGUUAAGAAAAUGCUGUUGCAAUCCCUUCCCACAUCAUCUGUGAGCUGACCCUUUGGGGUGGUCUAAGUCCAGCUCAGUGGCAGCUCACCUCCUGGGGGCAUCUGCAUCCCACCCCCCCUUCAUUAGCUUUACAGUGAGAUGUGCCCAUUGUCAUAAUCAAAGUUUGUGUCUGAAAAAUGUUAAUAGCUGGGUAUAUACCACAUGCCAUACAUUAUCAACGCUAUUUUUUAAUGAAGAGCUCUUUUCUGACAGCACAAGGGACUCUGUGAAAGGUUCAAGAUCCAGAAAUGUUGGGGAGUAAAACAUGAAGCAAAAUUUGGCAGCCUGCAAAUUAUUUAUUACGUGGGAGCCAAAGAAGCGCGGACUUUCACUGAAUCACUGCAGCCUAGAAAUGUGGUCCUGCCUGCUUUCUUAGCCUUUGCCAGGUCUCCUUGCCUAACUGUUAGCUGAGAGCGGUGGGCACCGUGCCCUUACUGGGAAGAAUCUUUCUCUGAUAAGUGUACCAGGGCCUCAAGACAAACAUAUGUCCUUAAAAGCUUUUCCCCUGAAAAUUGUUGUUUUAUUUCCCUGGUUGGUCAAAGCUGCUAACAAAGAUGAUUUGAUUUGUCCUUGCAGAAUAACUUCAGACCUCCUUCCCAAGGAGGCUGCAGUUGUAAUUUGUGAUUAAGGUAUUGCAGUGUUCCUGGCAGAACCAGAGGUCCAUGGGAUUGCGGGGGGAUAAGAGUUUGUGACUGACUUGAAGUAUAUAUAAUAUCUGACUAUAAUCUUUGGGGUAAAAUACAUCUGCGUCACUUCAAGUUCUCAGGCCAGAUCCCAAGUUUGUAUUUGUUUCCUUCCGAAAUAAACCUCGGGUCAGGUUCUUCCCAAAGCUAUGCUUCAGCACUGUUUAUUGCAACAUCAAGCUUUCAGACAGACAUUGUUAGUCUCAUGUUGGUUGAAGAGGUAUUUACAGGAAAUCUAAAGCAACUUUAUUUCCCCAGGGUUCCACACUAAGGAUGUCAGAUUCGGAGCUUUCCAAGGAAGCUGCUGCCUUAAAAUACACCAAGAGAAUUCCUAUUGUUCAAGUGACAUAAUGAGGCUGAGAUGCAAAUGCAGAGGGAAGCAGUAGCUGGUAUGUUUUGACUGAUUCUUUUUUUUCCUGACACCUUUUUUCUUUUUCUUUUUCUUUUUUUUAAAUAAUAUGUUUUACUGGGGAGAAUAGAGGAAGAUCAGCGGCCAGCUUCUGACUGGUAAAGUUGGGAUGUACAGCCUGCACAGAGGGUGAACGUGACUUAACGCCUACAUCUGACAGGAACUGAUUUAGACAGUUUCUCUAUCUCUGCAGAAGGCUGCACUGCAGUAUUAAAUAUCGGUGCCUGAUUAGUUCCCCCCUCCCCCUUUCUCGAAGGAGGAGAGGAGGAACAAACAGAAGUUAAUAGCUGGUGGCCAGUGCAUUCACCGUAGCUUUAUAAGCACUGAAUUGAAGUCCUUGCCCCAAAGUGUGUGGGUCGGUUCUGAUAUAAAACCAGGUCCCCUUUGCAGACCAUAAGCAUUGCACUGUGGGGAGGGGGAGCUGCUAUAAGCAUCACCCCAACCAGAAAUUCUGCUGAGGACCACAGCAACACAUCUGAGUCAAGCUUCAUUGAACCCAGCAGAUCCUCACAGACUGUUUGAAUGAAUCAGCGUUUACCAGCAUCAGGCUAAAUUUUGUUGUUGAAAGUCCUACUUGCAUCAAGUGUAGUCAGAAGGGGGGCAGCUGGUACAGCCCUGGAAAUGAAGAUGCCUCAGGUCCAUGCCCAGUUCUGCCACCAGCCUUCUCCUACAGCCCCUUUCCUACAACGUCAUUUCACUUUUUGUCCUUCAAGUUACCCCCAUCCUGUGUAAAAUAAGAGGACUAUGAAAGACCUAGAAGUUGUCUGUCAAAAGUAUUAUUUUGUCAACUAAAGAAGCCAUGGCAACAUAAAGCUACAACAGUUUCCAUCACAAGACUAAUUUGAGUCAGUUACUGCCUUUGAAACAUCUGUGGUGUGGGCUAAAAGUAGACUUUUCUACCAGAAUUGAAGUACAUCGAAGGAGUCACAAAAAAUAUCCCAAAAUAGGGGGAGGAAAGAGGGAAUAUCAGAUUGGAGGGGGAACAAAAGAGUGCAACAACAGUUAUGAAAUGCCUCAACAGUUUCCCUGCUUUUGUUGUGGUCAUUCUUCUUCCAGCCAGACUGAUAUGUUUACUGGAUUCAUUGAAUUGUGAUAUAGUGACCAGAACCACUGUUGAGACUCUUGUUGUUAAGAUUCUUAAUACUAACAGCAUUCCUGCAAGGAAUUACCUGCACUUGGGGGUUUAUACCACUGCUUCCUUCUGUAGGGAGUGGAACGUUGUAGGAGUCUUAUCUGAGGGCUUUAUCCAGAUGUGUACCAGUUCCUAUUUUGCCUUUAUCCUACGUUAUGCUAACUUCUAUCCUCCCUGCAUUCCUCCCUGUUAUAGGAAUGCAUCUAUUUACAGAUUGGAAACGUGGGAAUAAGAUCACAAGAUUAUAUUUUACCUGGAAAAAUGCAAAUAUAUGUCCUGGAGGGGGAAAAACUUGCUUCUCUAUGAGAGAGAUUUGAGACAUCUGAAAUAGCUGAGAUGUAGUGGGGAACAUUCAGACAUGACUUUGUGAUGUGACUAGCAAAAUAGGCCAGUCUGGGGCCUGCCUGUAUGAAGGCAGCAUGCCCUUGGACACAUCACACUUGCUUGGAUCUGUAAACUGCACAAAGGAUUUUUAUUAAAGGAACGCAUUUCUACAACACUUUUCACUUGAUUAUCUCAGAGUGCUUUAGUAGGCUCAGAAGAUGCUGGGGAACAAUCGACACAGAAGCUGCGCUGUAAAUCUCGCAGCAUUUAUUUCUAUGGAAGUCAUCUUUUCUUACUCCCUUUUUAUUCAGACAGCAAAAGGAAAAGAACAACAAGAUGAAGGCAAAGGCUGAGGCUCACGCCCAAUGUUUUUCUCUAUCAUUUUUGCCAAAGAAAAGAAGAAAAGAAACAAACACCAUUGCAUGUAAAUAAUCUUUUUUCUUUUCCUUGCCUGCUUCUAGACACGCUUUCAUUGGUUCACUGUAAUUAGGCAGAAAGUACUGAAAUGAUUUAUAUGUCAGACCUAACAGACAAUAUUGUAAUCGUACCAUUCUUUUAAUAGAUACGUCAACUUCUGAAAGCUUCGACUCAAAACCUUUAUUUCAAAUGCACGCAUACUUCUGCAAAUUUCAGAAGUAAUUGCCAGUUUCAUGGUUUGUACCUGAUAUGAGGUUGAGCUAAAGCCAGGAUUUGAAAGUUUGGAAAAACACGGCUCCAGAUUUUUUAGUCAAAGGCCAUCUGAGAUAAUGAGCAAGAAGAAAGGAAGAGUGUUAAUGUUUUAUGGGUCAGGUGUGCAGGGGUGCGAUAUACUCGGUGCUUUUAAGAUAUGCCAGAAAGUCUAAUCCCAAGGCCAGGAAGGCAACCCAGCAAGCAGAGGAAUUUGGAUGAUAAAAGAAAGUAUCAACACAAAUUGAUGACUGCUGUAGUUAGGGUGUGCCUUAAGGGGAGUUUAAAACCCCCUUAAAGAGAAAUAAAGACUGUGCAGUGUUGUCAGGAGAUCAUUGUCUGAGGGAUGGUUUAUGUGCAGCCUUGAAGGAGGAUGGGGAAUCGUUGUGGCUCCUGUACACACGCGCCAGCGCUGUGGCUGUGCCAGGACCGCUGGGCUCAUCCUGGCUGGCACCCACGCAGCCGCCCGCAGUAAGUGCUGCUGUUUCAGUGCUCGA